CAAGAGGUCGGGCCUGCCUGCCCGGUGAAUAACUAUUUAAACGGCCGCAGUGGAUAACUGUGCUAAGGUAGCGUAAUAAAUUGUCUCUUAAUUGGAGAAGGGUAUGAAUGGUUUGACGUGGUAGUUUCUGUCUCAAUGGUAGUAUAAUGAAGUUUUCUUUUGAGUUAAAAGGCUCAAAUUUAAGUAAAAGACGAGAAGACCCUGUCGAGCUUAAAUAAUAUUUUAUUUUAUAAAAUUUAAARUUUANUUGGGGCAAUUGGGAAAAAAAAUUAAAUUUCUAUUGAAUAUGAAGAUCCAUAAAUUUUGAAAAAAGAAAAAGUUACCGCAGGGAUAACAGCGUUAUCCUCUCUAAGAGAACAAAUUGAAGGGAAGGRUUGCGACCUCCAUGUUGGAUUAGAAUUUCCUUUAGGCGAAGAAGCUGAAAUGGUAGGACUGUUCGUCCUUUAAAAUUYNACAUGAUCUGAGUUAAGACCGGUGUGAACUANGUUGGUUUCUAUCNUUAUUUAAAAAGUCUUUGUACGAAAGGAUCGGAUUUUUUAAAAAUUCUACUAUUACUUCAAAGUGUAGCG
rnacentral:rRNA from 1 species